GAUGAACGCUGGCGGCGUGCUUAACACAUGCAAGUCGAGCGAGUGAGUUCUUCGGAACGAUCUAGCGGCGGACGGGUGAGUAACACGUGGGCAACCUGCCUCAUAGAGGGGAAUAGCCUCCCGAAAGGGAGAUUAAUACCGCAUAAAAUUAGCGAGUGGCAUCACACGGUAAUCAAAGGAGUAAUCCGCUAUGAGAUGGGCCCGCGGGGCAUUAGCUAGUUGGUGAGGUAACGGCGCACCAAGGCGACGAUGCGUAGCCGACCUGAGAGGGUGAUCGGCCACAUUGGGACUGAGACACGGCCCAGACUCCUACGGGAGGCAGCAGUGGGGAAUAUUGCACAAUGGGGGAAACCCUGAUGCAGCAACGCCGCGUGAGUGAUGAAGGUCUUCGGAUUGUAAAGCUCUGUCUUUGGGGACGAUAAUGACGGUACCCAAGGAGGAAGCCACGGCUAACUACGUGCCAGCAGCCGCCGUAA
rnacentral:rRNA from 1 species